UACGAAGGGGGCUAGCGUUGUUCGGAUUUACUGGGCGUAAAGCGCACGUAGGCGGAUCGUUAAGUCGGGGGUGAAAUCCUGGAGCUCAACUCCGGAACUGCCUUCGAUACUGGCGAUCUUGAGUCCGGAAGAGGUGAGUGGAACUCCUAAUGUAGAGGUGGAAUUCGUAGAUAUAGGAAGAACACCAGUGGCGAAGGCGGCUCACUGGCCGGUACUGACGCUGAGGUGCGAAAGCGUGGGGAGCAAACAGGGAUUAAGAU
rnacentral:rRNA from 1 species